GAUUUAGUUUAACGGCCGCGGUAUCUUGACCGUGCAAAGGUAGCACAAUUAAUUGUCCUCUAAAUAAGGACUAGUAUGAACGGCAUCACGAGGGUUUAACUGUCUCCCUACUUUAAUCAAUAAAAUUGAUCUUCCCGUGAAGAAGCGGGAAUAUAAAUAUAAGACGAAAAGACCCCAUGGAGCUUUAAACUUAUCAUCACUUAUCAAAAACUUUAACAUACAUUGAUAAAUAUGAGAGAUAGUUUUCGGUUGGGGCGACCCUGGAGAAAAACUAAUCCUCCAAGCUGUAAAGUAUAAAUAUGCUAGAGCAACCACUCAAACAAUCAAAACCUUGACAAAAUGACCCAGAAUAUAUCUGAUCAACGAACCAAGUUACCCUGGGGAUAACAGCGCAAUCCAUUUCAAGAGCCCCUAUCGACAAAUGGGUUUACGACCUCGAUGUUGGAU
rnacentral:rRNA from 1 species